UACGAAGGGGGCUAGCGUUGCUCGGAAUUACUGGGCGUAAAGCGCACGUAGGCGGGUCGGUAAGUCGGGGGUGAAAUCCUGGAGCUCAACUCCAGAACUGCCCUCGAAACUGCUGAUCUUGAGUUCGGGAGAGGUGAGUGGAACUGCGAGUGUAGAGGUGAAAUUCGUAGAUAUUCGGAAGAACACCAGUGGCGAAGGCGGCUCACUGGCCCGGUACUGACGCUGAGGUGCGAAAAGCGUGGGGAGCAAACAGG
rnacentral:rRNA from 1 species